UAUUAGCAGACACUUGUCCAGACUGUAAUAGAGAUCAUAGCUUGUUUGCUUGCCCAUGGCCUCAGCAAAGGGGUCAAGGACUGAGAUAGGGUGACAGAGAUGGUAUUCCUGCUUCCAGCCAGCAGUGCUGGAACAAUAGGCAGACAGGAGUAAGAGGCAGAACAGGGCACCAUGGUCUCUCCAGUCUCACACAGCAGUCACGGGAGAUGUAGUAGUAAUGUGCCAAGGAAAAGUGACCCAGGUAUGGUCUGUCUGUGUCACAUUCUCAAGCUGGGAAACCAACUCUGUACUUCCCAAGAAUAACCAGAGUACACCAGGCCACCCUGACUUUAGGACACAGAAGCUUUAUCAAACCUUAGCAGUGUGGGCUGGGGUUAGACUCUCUCCUUGCCUAUCCCUGGUUGACCGAGGCACAGUCAUUAGCAUUUCCCCUUUGCAGGUCCUGCCUCUGUCUCUUGCUCCUUCUCCUGCAUGCUCCUUCCUCAACUCCAUCACAGCUGCCAGCCCCCAGUGAAACCUGACUUUCUCACCUACAGCUUGCCCCCAGUUCCUACUGGCAAAAAGCAGGAAAGAAGAUGCUAAUCCCCUUCCAAACAGGAUAAUAACCCCAUCUGGGUUAUCUGGUGCCAACUCAGGAGAGAGACAGGUUGAGAAUCAGUCCAGCCUGCCAUAGUAAAUGCAUUUUGAGUCUGACAGCUCUACUUUAGCUUGGAUAUACUUUCCCCAAAAGUAGGGCAAAUUGUUCUCUGGAAGUCCACAGGUCCAUAUCUUGGCCACUGGAGUUAAGGAAGAUGUGUCCCCCUUCCUCAGCAAAUGAUUGGAUUAACCUCUCUGCCCACAAGAACUACACAAGGCAUGCCACGUGGGCUGCGCCUGUGCCACUCAGGGAGAGAUGCCCGGUGGUGGUUCUCCUGUGGUCAGGGGGGCAAAUGGACAUCAGCAAAUGCUGCCUCACUGCAGGAUACUCCUUGUGGUGCUCCUGCUGCCACUGGCCUUCCCUCCAGGAGCUCUUCUGCUCUUCUUCCUCCCUCCCUCUCAGUUUAUGCAAAGUAGCUCAUUAGUCCCAUUAGCAGCAGAGCACCAUCUCUGAUUGUUCAUCAGUGAUUCCUUUGUCGCCCUCCAUCACUCCUGUUGAGCCUCAUUAGUGCUGCUAGGAAGCAGGAGAACUGAUAGGAUAUUUAUAGGAAGGGUGGGGUGUUCUUUACACUACUGCUGGCUAAUAUCCAUUCUCUGCUCCUCACCCCUCCCCUCAUCCUAGUCCUCCCUAGAGAGCCUCCUCCUAAUGUGGGGAGUUGUCAAGGGGCUAUAUGAGACAGGACAGGACUAAACUGGUGUUUUUUAAGUCAGAGAAAUGAGAAAGGGAGCAGAGAAAAGGGUGAGUUGGAAGUAUGCAGAGCCUUAAUGCUUGGUCAGGAGCAUACGGGCUUACACAGGGCUGGGGACCUGUCAGGGGAGAGCUGAGCACAUGCCCCUCUGCACACGCAUGUUGGCUGGGAUGGCAGCCCACAAAUGAAUGUGAAGAGCUCAUCAUGUGCACACAUCCAUCGUGGGGAGGUCCGUGCCCUAGCUGCAGGCAGGGCAGCUUGUGCAUGAGGUGCCUCCAUCAGGGGCUGGGUGUGAACGGGCAUCCACACAGCACACCCACCUCCUGGUGCGUAAGCCAGCGGAGAGCUGUACCACGCUCCAACAGCCCCAGAGGGAGCAACCUCCUUGGUUACUUACAAGAAUAUUCCUUCAAGCAACACUUAAUUAUGGAGGCAACUAGACAGGGACUAAUCAUUCACUAUAAUACAGGGGAGAAUAAUCAGCUGAAGGCAGGAGAUAGUUUAUCUGGAAGAAGAGCUAGUGUAGGGAGGAAGAGACUGAAGAAGAACCACAGGACAAGGAGAGGUUAGGAGGAAGGAGGAACAAUACCCUAAAUCAGUUACCAAGUAUGGACACCUUUAUGACUUCAUAAAUGGAAUAUGCUUACUGUCAGCAAUCUUUGUCUUUCAGCAUCACAAGGACACCUCCCUAGCCACAGGCCACAGACCCUGAUCUCACCAGCAGUCAGAUCAGCUAAUUUAAUUGACUGCCCCGGUUAUGAAGAAUCAUGGUGUCUAGGAACCAGGGGUAAUACUUAGCAUGAUAUUGCUGUUUUCACAUCCCAGAGCUGUGCAAACAUUAACUAACGCUAACUCUAGUUAGCUGCAACUCACUGGAAGGCACCAAGACAUCCGUGCCCACAUGCUCCAGCCAGGACUGCUUGCAAAGACAGAAGGAUGAGUGACACAAGUUAACAAGUCAUCAUAUCUCACAUCUUUUGAGUUCUUCUUAGACUGGGUGUUUUGAGAAGCUGUAAGGAGUGCUGUGUUCCUGAUGAUCUUCUAGCGUAGGUGUCACCAACGCCUGCCACUCCUGUCCUUCUGCCACAUCCUCUGGUGCCUUUCAUGCCCAUUCAUACCACUCUCAAUGUUUCUGUUAAAUGUCUACAAUAUCUCUGGCUAAGGCACAGUGCCAGCCCCCACACCUUACAUCACUAUCCUUGGAAGAUCCUAUAAUAAAGGACAGACAUUUAAAAUGUGCUGCAUAUUUAGCUAAAGAAAAGCUGUUUCACUCCCUGGUGAUUCUUAUGACUGUAAGAAGCAUGUUCUGGCUGCAUGGUAACCCAGUGCAGAGAGUUUGUCAACAGGACUUUGGUCGCCAAGAGACAAGUGGAUGUGUAGAAAACCUCUCCCUUGGCAGAUCGCUGUCAAAUCUGGACUAUAGGCCACAGUGGUUGCCUGGCUGGAAGCUGGGCUGAGUGCUGGCAGAGGGAGGCAGCUCACUAGUGAGGCUGGGUAAGGUUUCUGUGCUUGAGAACUAUGGUCAGAGUUAAGGUUACAUGGUGUGUAAGACAGCAAGAUGGUUAGCAUUCCUUAAGAAGCCUUUAAAAGGUGUUACUUAAAAUACCCGUUAACCAGGAAGACGUGCUGCAACACACACGGAUAAAAGAGCUUGGAUUUACAGGGAAAAAUAAAUGAAAAACAGCAUCACCCAGGAA